UAGAGUUUGAUCCUGGCUCAGAACGAACGCUGGCGGCGCGCCUAAUACAUGCAAGUCGAACGAGAAUGUGUAGCAAUACACAUGUACAGUGGCGAACGGGUGAGGACUACAUGGGUAACCUACCCUCGAGUGGGGAAUAGCCAGCCGAAAGGUUGGCUAAUACCGCGUACGCUUCCGAGACUGCGGUUUCGGAAGGAAAGCGAUACCGUGGGUAUCGCGCUCUUGGAUGGGCUCAUGCCCUAUCAGCUUGUUGGUGAGGUAACGGCUCACCAAGGCAUCGACGGGUAGCUGAUCUGAGAGGAUGAUCAGCCACACUGGCACUGCGACACGGGCCAGACUCCUACGGGAGGCAGCAGUAAGGAAUAUUGCGCAAUGGGCGAAAGCCUGACGCAGCGACGCCGCGUGGGGGAUGAAAGUCUUCGGAUUGUAA
rnacentral:rRNA from 1 species